CCCAUGGCGCCGGAGCUGUUCCCGGCUGGUGUCGUGCGGGACCCCCGCCGCCCCCGGGCUGUACGCGGUGGGCUGCCUGGCCGUGGGCUUCCUGCCCCCCGAGCUGACCUGGAGCUGGAGCGACUCGGCCAACCGCAGCGUGGGGGAGGGGGCGGCCGCCUUCCCCCCCCACCCCCGGCCGGGGGUCUCUACACCGCCAGCAGCCGCCUCAGCCUCCCCCUGGAGCAGGGCAAGGCCCAGCAGCCCUUCAGCUGCGCGGCCGCCCACCCCCGCGGCACGCGCCGGCGGGACGUCUCCAACCCCGGUCCCUCGGCCCACGUGACCCCCGUCGUCACGCUCCACCCGCCGUCCCGCGAGGACUUCGAGGGCCCCUACCGCAACUCCAGCCUCCUCUGCCAGAUCCGCGGCCCCCGGCAGCCCCCCGCCGCCAUCCGCUGGCUGAAGAACGGGACCCCCCUCCGCGAGGGGGUGACCACCGAGACCUCGGUGGCCGACGGCAGAGCCGCCUACGUCACCGACAGCCGGGUGGUUGUCACCGAAGCCGAGUGGGACGCCGGCGCCGUCUACACGUGCCAGGUGGAGGAGGAGAUGAGGAACACCAGCAAAGCGCUGGAGUGCGGCUAUGACCGCCCCAUCGGCGGCGGGGAGAUCGUGGUGCGCGUCGUCCCUCCCCUCUUCGCCGACAUCUUCCAGGAGAAGGUGGCCAAGCUGACCUGCGUGGUGGACAACCUGCCCAGCGCUGACGGCUUGGUCAUCUCCUGGUGGAAGGAGAAAUGGCCAGGAGCUGGAGACGCGCACCCUGCCCCCGCUCCUGCAACCCAACGCGCUCUUCGGCGCCCGCGGCGUCGCCAGCGUCUGUGCCGACGACUGGGACAAGGGGGAGGUCUACACCUGCAGGGUCACCCACCCUGAGCUGGUGUUCCCCACCGAGGCCAAGCUCCAGAAGGUCACCGAUGGCACCGCCAAAGCCCCCUCCAUCUACGUCUUCCCCCCGACCUCGGACCAGCUCUCGUCCCACGAAGCGGCCACCAUCACCUGCCUGGUGCAGGGCUUCAACCCCCCCGACCUCUUCGUCCGCUGGCUGCGCGACGGCGAGCCCCUGCCCCCCGCCGCCUACGUCACCCUGCCCCCCACCCCCCAGCCGGGGACACCCCCGUCCUUCCUCACCUACAGCGCCCUGAGGGUCACCGGGGCCGACUGGGGGUCCGGCAGCGUCUUCACCUGCCUGGUGGGCCACGAGCGCAUCCCGCUGCAGGUGGCCCAACGCUCGGUGGACCGAACCUCCGGUAAAGCCACCGCCGUCAACGUCUCGCUCGUGCUGGCCGACGCGGCCGCCGCCCUGCUACUGACCCUUCGCCCCCCCCCCCCCCCCCCAUCCCACCGCUUUACGUCC